AACCGCCCGCUCUUUUCUGUGGCCGCUCAGGCCCGCCGAGCCUCUUCUGCGGCUGCGCAGGCUCCGCCCGGGUCCUUCUGCGCCUGCGUGGUCCGAGAGCCUGAUCCUGAGAUGCAGAAACUAAUUUCAACUCCAGUUUGCUUCUACCCCGCCCCCCACCGCCCAUGCAUGUCAUCGAACUGGUAGAAAACCCGGCAGAUGCCAUCUCAACUGAAUGACCACGAUGAGUAAUAUGAGAAGAGAGCUGUGUCCCAGGAGCACCUGGCUGGAGCUGCAUUCACAGAGGUGGCAGAGCCAGGAGGAAGCUGAGCAAUGAAGAGCCUCACCACUCUCUCCUCCUACCCUCCAGCCCCCUGCGUGGCCUAAGCCAGUGGAAGCCCACAGGCAAGGGAGGUGGGAGAAAGUGCCUGGAGGGGCUCACUGUCCACACCUCUUACACCUAUCUGGGUAUCCCCUCUGCAGAUACAGCAGGAAGGGAAGUCAGGAGAGCCUGAUCCAACACUUUCAUCUGACCUCCUCCUUCCCCAGGAGGGAGUGUGACAAUGCAGCCAUUAUAAUGCAGAAUCGACAGUCCAAUUGGAUGAUGUGGAUUCUCAGUGCGCACGUGCCUGCUGAAUACAAGGCUGCUGCCUGUGACAUCAUUGCUGUCUUGUGCUUCCACUCGUGCACCCCAACCUCUUUAGAACAAUGGCUUCUUGAAAGAUUUUGUUAUUGAAUAGGUAAUACUUUGAUAUCGUAUCCAAUUAAAAGAUACAAAAGCACAAACACGAGGAUGUGGAGAAAUCGGAACCUUCGUGCGCUGUCGGUGGGACUGCAAAACGGGGUGCAGCCGCUGUGGAAAGCCGUAUGAUGAUUCCUCAAAAAAUUAAAAGGAGAACCACAA